UUGGACAUCAAAAUCAACCUUUGCCAUCAUCUUCACAAAGGAUGCAAAGUAGUGGAGAUGAAAGUUGUCCUAAAGGUGGAACAGAAGGAGAAGAAGUAUCAGAAUGCAGUCAAGAGUCAGCAGGUGUUGCACACACUCAUUCUGCUGGUAAUGUGGUGCUACAAACGAGAGACCAGUUCAUUUUUAGUGAAGAGUCGUGUCCAGGGAAGGAUCGAAGCUCCAGUCCAGCAUCUUGUACAGAACAAUAUUACACCUCACUUGAAGAUGUCACUUUUUCCAUUCCAGAAAUACCUUGUGAAGCU
rnacentral:lncRNA from 1 species